GACUUAAUGACCCAUUCGCAACUUCAGCUUUACCUGGAUGAUCCUGCCAGUAGCAUAUGCUUGUCUCAAAGAUUAAGCCAUGCAAGUUUAAGUACACACGGC